rfam:Opisthorchis viverrini scaffold181.15, whole genome shotgun sequence.
UGCACCUCAAUUUUUCGACGCGGAGCAGCAUUCUUGUACCCGUCUGUGCACGCAUAAAUGAGUGCCUGAAUACGCUUUAAACUGGAUUAUAGACUGAGCUUGAACAACCGUCUUAGGAAGAUUAUUCCACGAAUGGCAAUGUGAAUUUCCUUAUUGGAAAGGUGCGCUCUGAAUUCGGAAAUUUUCUCACGACAUUUCUACUCUGUUUGCUGGGUCAGCGGUAGAAAGCCCGUUUGCCCCGCCUUUUCCAUCGGGGCCUAAUUAAGAAUAAAUCAAGCUUGGGGGCGACUUUACACCACUGGAGGUCAAGCAUCGCCAGACGCGUUUCCGAAUCCAUGAUUCGGAGGCUGGAAACAACUUGUGUACCAACCCAUUGGCCCCACUCAAUGAGGUUGAAGUCUUCCGUGUGUCUUGAGUAGACAAUCUGGUUCGCAUAUUUAGGUAGCGGUCUGACGUGUGCUGAGUGGAGUACUUGGGUGUCCAUGCGUGAGUAUAGGGGCGAAAGACUAAUCGAACCAUCUAGUAGCUGGUUCCCUUCGAAGUUUCCCUCAGGAUAGCUGGUGUUCAGAGAUAUAAACAGUUUUAUCCGGUAAAGCGAAUGAUUAGAGGCCUUGGGGGCGAAACGUCCUCAACCUAUUCUCAAACUUUGAAUGGGUGAGAAGCCUGACUCGCCCAAACGGAGUCAGGCGUUGAAUGUGAAUGCCAAGUGGGCCAUUUUUGGUAAGCAGAACUGGCGCUGUGGGAUGAACCAAACGUUCGGUUAAGGUGCCUAACGCGACGCUCAUCAGAUACCACAAAAGGUGUUGGUUGGUCUAGACAGCAGGACGGUGGCCAUGGAAGUCGGAACCCGCUAAGGAGUGUGUAACAACUCACCUGCCGAAUCAACCAGCCCUGAAAAUGGAUGGCGCUGGAGCGUCGGACCUAUACCGGACCGUCACUGCAAGCUGAGUCGGUAAUGUGUGGUGUGAGGGCAAGUCACACGACUCAGGCACGGAAUUGUGGUGACGAGUAGGAGGGUCGCCGUGGUGAGCAGGAAGCUUCGGGCGUGAGCCUGAGUGGAGCCGCCACGGGUGCAGAUCUUGGUGGUAGUAGCAAAUAUUCAAGUGAGAACCUUGAAGGCCGAGGUGGAGAAGGGUUCCAUGGGAACAGCAGUUGGCCAUGGGUCAGGCGGUCCUAAGUGAUCCGUUAACUCGGAACGGAGACGGGGUGCCUGACAUUGUCAGGAUUGCUGCUGAUGUACUGUUGCAAGGCAGCCCCCUGUAGCGAAAGGGAAUCGGGUUAAUAUUCCCGACCCUGCCCACGGAGAUUGGUGCAUUCUGGUCUCGCACCGGUUUGCAUCUGGCGCGGUAACGCAACCGACCUCGGAGACGUCGGCAAGAGUUCUGGGAAGAGUUCUCUUUUCUUUAUUAGGAGUGCAUCAUCCCCUGGAAUCGGGUUGUCCGGAGAUAGGGGACUAGCCUCCGUAAAGCACCACAUUUCUUGUGGUGUCCGGAACGCUCUUGUCGGCCCUUGAAAAUCCGAGCGAGGCAAUAUAAUUUUCGUGGCAGGCCGUACCCAUAUCCGCAUCAGGUCUCCAAGGUGAACAGCCUCUGGCAAUUGAACAAUGUAGGUAAGGGAAGUCGGCAAACUGGAUCCGUAACUUCGGGAAAAGGAUUGGCUCUGAGGGCCGAGUCAAAUGGGCUGGAGUCAGAUACGUGUUGGUCCAGUUGGAGGCUGGUUUUUCUGUUGCUGCGUCCGCCUCGGUGGAUGUGGUUGAUGGGAUUACUGGACUCUGACCAGGCCGAUCGUGGGCGAUUUCAGCUGUAGUGCUGCUUUGCUGGCAGCGUGCACGGGCAACUGUGUGCGUGUCGACGGCUUUGCUUCCUUCGUUUGGCGCUCAACGGCUAGCUCAGAACUGGCACGGACCAGGGGAAUCCGACUGUCUAAUUAAAACCAAGCAUUGCGAUGUCCGCUGACCGGUUUUGACGCAAUGUGAUUUCUGCCCAGUGCUCUGAAUGUCAAUGUGAAGAAAUUCAAUGAAGCGCGGGUAAACGGCGGGAGUAACUAUGAUUAUGAAUGAUGAGGGACUGAAAAUGCUUCCUCGCAGGAAAGGUGAAUGAAAUGAUUUCGAGUCGUUGAAACAUGUGCAGUUGGCUGAUGAAAUGGCCAGCUCAAU